rnacentral:lncRNA from 1 species
AACUCCUGCCUUGAGCCAAAUCCCGACAGGACUUGUUACUUUCACUUGCUCUUUUUUCCUCCCAUUUUAGCAGCCAAGGAUGGGAAUUACACAGCGAAAUGCAGGCUAAUCAGCUAAAUCUAGAUUAAAUAUGCUAGUCCUUGGGGACCUUGAGCUGAAUUAAUGGAAACCGAGGUUUUUAAUGUUCCAGACUAAUUUUGGAAGCUCACUUCCAGCAGAGGCAAACUUGAGGCUGUCCAAAGGGAGCAGAUGGCAAGGCUUUCUCCAGGUGCACCAACCUUUGAAACAGCCCUCGGCAAAACCAUGAGGAAGGGAGGAGGCUCCAUGAUCUUACCUUCCCAAUUAUGAAAGCAAGAAGAUCGAAGCAAAUGAACAAAGGUGGGAUCCGGUUCCAAUAAUGAAGAAUGUGAUGACUACAUGUAUACCAUUCUGGAACAGAGAAAAGACUGCCUGCAGCAAUAUCUCUAAAAACUACCUGUGGCAGACUCAGUGGAUGGUCAAGUUUGGCUCUGAAACAAGUCUCCUCAUUUGUCAGAGAAAGGACAGAGAAGAUCC